rnacentral:rRNA from 1 species
UGGGGAAUAUUGGACAAUGGGCGCAAGCCUGAUCCAGCCAUGCCGCGUGAGUGAUGAAGGCCUUAGGGUUGUAAAGCUCUUUCGCCGGUGAAGAUAAUGACGGUAACCGGAGAAGAAGCCCCGGCUAACUUCGUGCCAGCAGCCGCGGUAAUACGAAGGGGGCUAGCGUUGCUCGGAAUCACUGGGCGUAAAGCGCACGUAGGCGGAUCGUUAAGUCAGGGGUGAAAUCCUGGAGCUCAACUCCAGAACUGCCCUUGAUACUGGCGAUCUCGAGUUCGAGAGAGGUUGGUGGAACUCCGAGUGUAGAGGUGAAAUUCGUAGAUAUUCGGAAGAACACCAGUGGCGAAGGCGGCCAACUGGCUCGAUACUGACGCUGAGGUGCGAAAGCGUGGGGAGCAAAACAGGAUUAGAUACCCUGGUAGUCCACGCCGUAAACGAUGGAUGCUAGCCGUUGGGGGGUUUACCUCUCAGUGGCGCAGCUAACGCCUUAAGCAUCCCGCCUGGGGAGUACGGUCGCAAGAUUAAAAACUCAAAGGAAUUGACGGGGUCAUAGCUGUUUCCU